ACUGUGACCUUGGGUGGAGACUGGUCUGGUUCUGCCAUGGCUAAUCCUCCCCUCUCCAAGGAUCCCCUGUUUUCUCUUGCAGAUUUGCUAAAUGACCGCGCAGUCUGUCAUCUGCGGUGUUCGCGUGACCCUCAGCGCCCUCCCCACCCGGCAGGCCCUUUCCCGCCGAAUGGGGGCUUGGCGGGGACGGAACGGUGAGGUCAGAGAAUGCUGCAGAGGGGACAUUGGGACCAGGUCUUGCAGUGAGUUGAAGUGCUCCAGGCAGAGAGCGCCGGUGGGUCUUUCCUGGCCAGGCCGCAGGGGGCCUUUGGGAAGCACCCGAGGCCUAUAACCUUCGGAGCGUUUGUCAAGCUCUAAUGAGAACUGGAAAGCUUCAGCUUCCCGAGGUGGGCUGGGAGGGCCUUAGGUAGGGCCUCGCACAAAUUGCGAAGGAAAGCCGACCUUGUUCUGGAGAGCACGUGGUGAGGAAAGCCAGCGACUUGAUGUGAGCAUUUAAACGGGAGGAAGGAAGAUGAGAACUGGUAAGAUUCUUCUCGGCCGGGCGGUGCAGCGGCUCACGCCUGUAAUCCUAGCACUUUGGGAGGCCGAAGCCAGG
rnacentral:lncRNA from 1 species